CGAGGAAUAUUGCGCAAUGGAGGAAACUCUGACGCAGUAACGCCGCGUGGGGGAAGAAGACCUUCGGGUUGUAAACCUCUUUUGUGAAGACGAGUGAGGACGGUAUUCAUAGAAUAAGUCUCGGCUAACUACGUGCCAGCAGCCGCGGUAAGACGUAGGAGGCGAGCGUUAUCCGGAUUCACUGGGCGUAAAGCGCAUGUAGGCGGUUCUGCAAGUCAUGUGUUAAAGCCCUGGCUCAACUGGGGGAGGUCAUGUGAGACUGCAGGACUUGAGGACAGCAGAGGCACGUGGAACUCCCGGUGUAGCGGUGGAAUGCGUAGAGAUCGGGAAGAACACCUGUGGCGAAGGCGACGUGCUGGGCUGUUACUAACGCUGAGAUGCGAAAGUGUGGGGAGCAAACGGGAUUAGAUACCCCGGUAGUCCACACUGUAAACGAUGAACCCUAGGUGUGGGGGAGUAAAAUCUUCCGUGCCGAAGCUAACGCGUUAAGGGUUCCGCCUGGGG
rnacentral:rRNA from 1 species